rnacentral:rRNA from 1 species
CCUACGGGAGGCUGCAGUGAGGAAUAUUGGUCAAUGGACGAGAGUCUGAACCAGCCAAGCAGCGUGAAGGAUGACUGCUCUAUGGGUUGUAAACUUCUUUUAUACAGGAAUAAACCGAGGCACGCGUGCCUUUCUGCAUGUACUUUAUGAAUAAGGAUCGGCUAACUCCGUGCCAGCAGCCGCGGUAAUACGGAGGAUUCGAGCGUUAUCCGGAUUUAUUGGGUUUAAAGGGUGCGUAGACGGGUUGAUAAGUCAGUUGUGAAAGUUUGAGGCUCAACCUUAAAAUUGCAAUUGAUACUGUCAGGCUUGAGAGCAGUUGAGGUAGGCGGAAUGUAUGGUGUAGCGGUGAAAUGCUUAGAGAUCACACAGAACCCCGAUUGCGAAGGCAGCUUACUAAGCUAUUUCUGACGUUGAGGCACGAAAGUGUGGGGAGCAAACAGGAUUAGAUACCCUUGUAGUC